UGGCGAGUGGCGAACGGGUGAGUAAUAUAUCGGAACGUACCCUGGAGUGGGGGAUAACGUAGCGAAAGUUACGCUAAUACCGCAUACGAUCUAAGGAUGAAAGUGGGGGAUUCGCAAGAACCUCAUGCUCCUGGAGCGGCCGAUAUCUGAUUAGCUAGUUGGUAGGGUAAAAGCCUACCAAGGCAUCGAUCAGUAGCUGGUCUGAGAGGACGACCAGCCACACUGGAACUGAGACACGGUCCAGACUCCUACGGGAGGCAGCAGUGGGGAAUUUUGGACAAUGGGCGCAAGCCUGAUCCAGCAAUGCCGCGUGAGUG
rnacentral:rRNA from 1 species